rnacentral:rRNA from 2 species
AUAUCAAUAAGCGGAGGAAAAGAAACCAACAGGGAUUGCCCUAGUAACGGCGAGUGAAGCGGCAACAGCUCAAAUUUGAAAUCUGGCCCUCGGGUCCGAGUUGUAAUUUGUAGAGGAUGCUUUUGGUGCGGUACCUUCCGAGUUCCCUGGAACGGGACGCCAUAGAGGGUGAGAGCCCCGUCUGGUUGGAUGCCAAUCCUCUGUAAAGCUCCUUCGACGAGUCGAGUAGUUUGGGAAUGCUGCUCUAAAUGGGAGGUAUAUGUCUUCUAAAGCUAAAUAUUGGCCAGAGACCGAUAGCGCACAAGUAGAGUGAUCGAAAGAUGAAAAGCACUUUGAAAAGAGAGUUAAAAAGCACGUGAAAUUGUUGAAAGGGAAGCGCUUAUGACCAGACUUGGGCUUGGUUGAUCAUCCGGCGUUCUCGCCGGUGCACUCUUCCGGCUCAGGCCAGCAUCAGUUUGCUUCGGGGGAUAAAGGCUUUGGGAAUGUGGCUCCCUCGGGAGUGUUAUAGCCCACUGUGUAAUACCCUGGAGCGGACUGAGGUACGCGUUCUGCAAGGAUGCUGGCGUAAUGGUCAUCAGUGACCCGUCUUGAAACACGGACCAAGGAGUCGUCUUCGUAUGCGAGUGUUCGGGUGUCAAACCCCUACGCGUAAUGAAAGUGAACGCAGGUGAGAGCUUCGGCGCAUCAUCGACCGAUCCUGAUGUUCUCGGAUGGAUUUGAGUAAGAGCAUACGGGGCCGGACCCGAAAGAAGGUGAACUAUGCCUGUGUAGGGUGAAGCCAGAGGAAACUCUGGUGGAGGCUCGCAGCGGUUCUGACGUGCAAAUCGAUCGUCAAACAUGGGCAUGGGGGCGAAAGACUAAUCGAACCUUCUAGUAGCUGGUUUCCGC